rnacentral:rRNA from 1 species
GACGAACGCUGGCGGCGUGCUUAACACAUGCAAGUCGAACGGGAUUUAGUAAACAGACGCCUCGGUGGAAGAUUACUAAUGAGAGUGGCGAACGGGUGAGUAACGCGUGAGCAACCUGCCUAUGACAGUGGGAUAGCCUCGGGAAACCGGGAUUAAUACCGCAUAAAAUCGUAGAAACACAUGUUUUAACGGUCAAAGAUUUAUCGGUCAUAGAUGGGCUCGCGUCUGAUUAGCUAGUUGGUGAGAUAACAGCCCACCAAGGCGACGAUCAGUAGCCGGUCUGAGAGGAUGAACGGCCACAUUGGAACUGAGACACGGUCCAAACUCCUACGGGAGGCAGCAGUGGGGAAUAUUGCACAAUGGGGGAAACCCUGAUGCAGCGACGCCGCGUGAACGAAGAAGGUAUUCGUAUCGUAAAGUUCUGUCCUAUGGGAAGAUAAUGACAGUACCAUAGAAGAAAGCGCCGGCUAAAUACGUG